AGUUUGAUUAUGGCUCAGGAUGAACGCUGGCGGCGUGCCUAACACAUGCAAGUCGAGCGAGGGUUUGCUCAGUAUUGAGUAUUCUAAGACUAGAAUGUUCAAUACUGAGCAAAAUCAAGCGGCGGACGGGUGAGUAACGCGUGGGUAACCUGCCCUAUACACAUGGAUAACAUACUGAAAAGUUUACUAAUACAUGAUAAUAUGUAUUUGCGGCAUCGCAGAUAUAUCAAAGUGUUAGCGGUAUAGGAUGGACCCGCGUCUGAUUAGCUAGUUGGUGAGAUAACUGCCCACCAAGGCGACGAUCAGUAGCCGACCUGAGAGGGUGAUCGGCCACAUUGGAACUGAGACACGGUCCAAACUCCUACGGGAGGCAGCAGUGGGGAAUAUUGCACAAUGGGCGAAAGCCUGAUGCAGCAACGCCGCGUGAACGAUGAAGGUCUUCGGAUCGUAAAGUUCUGUUGCAGGGGAAGAUAAUGACGGUACCCUGUGAGGAAGCCCCGGCUAACUACGUGCCAGCAGCCGCGGUAAUACGUAGGGGGCUAGCGUUAUCCGGAUUUACUGGGCGUAAAGGGUGCGUAGGUGGUCCUUCAAGUCGGUGGUUAAAGGCUACGGCUCAACCGUAGUAAGCCGCCGAAACUGGAGGACUUGAGUGCAGGAGAGGAAAGUGGAAUUCCCAGUGUAGCGGUGAAAUGCGUAGAUAUUGGGAGGAACACCAGUAGCGAAGCGGCUUUCUGGACUGCAACUGACACUGAGCACGAAGCGUGGGUAGCAAACAGGAUUAGAUACCUGGUAGUCACGCUGUAAACGAUGAGUACUAAGUGUCGGGGUUACCCCCUCGUGCGCAGCUAACGCAUUAAGCACUCGCUGGGGAGUACGACGCAGUGAACUCAAGAUGACGGGCCCGCCAAGCGGUGGAGCAUGUGUUAUUCGAGCACCGAAAACUACAGUCUGACAUCCUCUGACCGCUCUAGAUAGAGUUCUCGUCAGUGCAGGUGGGCAUGGGCCUCAGUUGGUCUGGAGUUGGUAGUCGACAGGCACCAUGUAUGGCAUCUCAUGACUACGAGUGCGUAUACUGAAGUGGAUACCUAAUAUCUAUGCUUGUACG
rnacentral:rRNA from 1 species